GAAUCAUCCAAGAAACUCAACACAAGUAGCAGUGCUCUGGGCACCAUCUAAAUUCAGAGUGAUCUAGAAGCCUCAGAAAUGGUCUGAUAUGAAAAGAAGGUGACAGAAGGUCAGAUCUUCAACUUGAACCCCAAUAUCUGUUUCUGGGUUUUUAUUAUUUGUGCUACAAAGUCUCUCUUCUGGCAAAAGUGAAGCAAGUAGCCUUGGUGGAAAGACUGUAUCCACCAACAAGAUUUGUUAAUUUGUAACUUUCAAGUGGAUGGGUUACCUAUCUCUGCUUUUCAGCAGAGGUAACAGAACUCUCCAGAGGUGGGAUCUUUCAAGGGGGGCACAACCUUGCCUAAACAAUGAACAGGAAGCUCUCUUAACUUUAUAAUACAUCAAGUUAAUUAAGGCGAAAUACACUGUAACUGUAUACGUACAUACGAUA